AUUCUCGUCCAUAAUCUUCCAUAGCUCUUUUUAGGUUUCUAUCAAAGAUUUGUUUAAUAAUUUCAGAAAAAAAUUCAUGAAAUUUUUUUGGAGAUAUUCUUUAAAAAAUGCUCGAAAAAAAUAAUCGAAGACUCACUUGGGAAAUAUAUCAAAGAAUUACUGGAGUAAUUCCUUAAAUAAUCUUAGAAGGAAUCUCUAGAGUACAACCAGAAAGUAUCCACAGAGAAAUUUCAAGUUAAAAUGUUAAAGAUAUCCUGAAAAAACAAUGUUGUAGGAGAUUCCAACAAAGACCCAAAGGUGCUUUCUGGAGAAGAUACUGCUUUUAGAUGUUCUAAACGGGUAUUUUUGAGAGUGCUCAAAAGGAAACGAUGGAAGAAUCAUUGCAUAAAAGUCUGGAGGAUUUUUUUGGAAAAUCUUUGGAGGAAUUCCUAAAUAAAUCUCUGAGGUAUUUUCUGUGGUUCUUCCUCGAAAAAUCCCUAUUGUAUUCUUGAGGUUUCCAACAUGAAAUUGUAGGGAAAAUUCCUUGGGAAAUAAUCACUAAAGAUCUAAAAAAAUCUUUGGUUUUUGUUCAAGUUUUUUAAAGCCAUUUAAGACCUACUGUUAUAAAUGAAUUCAAAUUCAUUCAAAAUUAAUAAUUCGAUAAUCAUAGUUAUUUAAGAGUUUUUCUUGAGCCUGGAAUUAUUUCUUAAUGCCUGGAAAUAACCUGGAAAUAUCAGGGAAUUUCAUUUCAGUAAACGAGUAGACACUCUGUUAACGCUUUGAGUAUAGUGUUUCUUGAAUUAUCAGCACGUUCUGAUGUUCUAGGAUAAUUGUUAACCUUGUAUAAGUAUAGCUACCUAAAGAAAAAAAACAAAUUUAAUCUCUAAUGAGAAACUUUUCACUUGCCCCACGUGAUUAGAAAAUUGACAGUGUUUCAAUUUAGUUAUUUUUAGGUCUAUGUAGAAUUAAUUCUAAAACUUUUUUUUUAUUGUGGUUCAAAACUAUCAGAGAGUACAACUUCGAAAUGGUACAGACAAUUAUUUUCCUCAACUUUUUCCCACUGAAAAUAUUAAAAUAAGAUUGCACGCCGCCAACUUGUUACAGAGUGAUAAUUGGCAGGUUAACUAUAUUUCGCUCUAUUAUGCAAUAAAGGCUGAAAAAUUUCAGAAAUUUCUUACCUAUCGUAAUGUUCUCAAUGGCCUCAAAGGUUUACGCAUGAGUUUAAAACGUUAAUUCACAUAUUCAGUAAAAUAUACCAAUUAUUUUCACUUACCCCACUUACCCACUUGCCCCGCGGUACCUUACUGCUUUUAUAAUAAUUCUUCCAACAAAAUUUAUCCCAUUUCAUGUUUUUUCUAUUGCUGAUAGGUUUCAACACAAUUUUCACCUAUCAAUUAUUAAAUUUUUGCUAAGCAAAUGAAAUGCAAUAGCUGGUUCAUGCGAUCUGAGACCUAAUUAUCCUAACGCGCUUCGCGCGAUGUAUGCUCCGCAACAUUUUGUUCCAUGCUACACUUUGCUGCUGUGACGAUGGAAACCAACGCGUGCACUCUCAUCGGGAAACGCGCUGCCUUGUAUCGUACACGCAAUCCUGCAUAUGUGGUAGAAAGCUUUUUGAACUACAAAUGCCAGUGUGUUAGUAGCCAAAGCGUCAACUCUGGCCGGUGCACUGAACGAAAUCUCCCGCCAUGAAAUGAAUGAUUUGUAAUUCACAUGUCUACAAAUCCUCAUAUAUCUCAUUUUAAAUGAUUAUUCAAGAAUAUGAGCAUUGACCGACUAUCAAAUUAAAAUCAUCCAAUGUGUGGAUGGCUUUCAGUAUACAUUCGUAUGAUUAAAAGUAGAUUAUUGAAUUAUGCCUAUACGAAUGAAUAACAUGCAGCUUCUGACGUAUUUUCUUUUUUUCGAUGUCCCAAACCAAAAAUCAUUCAAUUGUAGUCCAAAAACUCAUAUGAGUAGUUAAUGAUGCUAAACUUGAAAUCAUCCUUGUCAAUGUUGUUAUAAACAUGGCGGCAGCAGCAUGGAGCGGAGUUUCUUCGUGGAUUUUACAGGAGGACCAAACACCAUUCAACGCACGAGUCAUCGUCUAUGCGCGCAUUAGAGGCGAUAUUUAGACAUCAUGUUCGCUUCAAUCAGCUAUGUUACGCACAGCUUGGGCAUUUGCUUAAAUGUUAGUUGUUGUGAUUGUUUUUAUAUUUUAAUUACCUUGUGAAUAAAUGGUGAGCUACGCGAAACCACCAACAAUGAGUUAUUAUUUGUUUUCAAUUUUAUUUAU